CUCCCAAGUACUUUGCUCUUUGGGA
rnacentral:piRNA from 2 species